rnacentral:tRNA from 1 species
CGGGGAGUGGCGCAGCUUGGUAGCGCGCUACGUUCGGGGCGUAGAGGCCGCGGGGUCGAAUCCCGCCUCCCCGACCA